rnacentral:lncRNA from 10 species
CAGCAAGGCUGGAAAAUUUCUCAUGUGGUUUGAUUCACAUGGUUUUGAAAUCUUAUUCAGACACAGACUUUGGCCAGGUCCCUGUAGAAGUCAUAGGAGAGUUGGGGUUUCAAGACAAAACAAUAAGAACAACAACAAAAAUAAUAAAACCAACAAUCUUCAGUCCUUUUUGCUUAGUGGGGGUGGAAAGGCCACUGUAGAGAACUUCUUUAAUCCAAGGACACCCACACCAAUAAAAGCAGACGGCAAGGGAACCAGGACAAGCAUGGCUGUGAAGCUGCUGGUCUGGAAGAGAGAAGGCUGGAUGCAGGAACACUUUGGCACAGGCUCCUAGGAUCCUGGGAUCAGGACAUAAUAAAUUUACUUUGAAUAAAUGGACAUUGCAAAGUGACUCAUUGUC